rnacentral:rRNA from 1 species
GGAAUCUUCCACAAUGGACGAAAGUCUGAUGGAACAACGCCGCGUGAGUGAAGAAUGUUUUAGGAUCGUAAAACUCUGUUGUUGGAGAAGAACAGGGACUAGAGUAACUGUUAGUCCUUUGACGGUAUCCAACCAGAAAGCCACGGCUAACUACGUGCCAGCAGCCGCGGUAAUACGUAGGUGGCAAGCGUUGUCCGGAUUUAUUGGGCGUAAAGCGAGCGCAGGCGGUCUUUUAAGUCUAAUGUGAAAGCCUUCGGCUUAACCGAAGAAGUGCAUUGGAAACUGGAAGACUUGAGUGCAGAAGAGGACAGUGGAACUCCAUGUGUAGCGGUGAAAUGCGUAGAUAUAUGGAGGAACACCGGUGGCGAAAGCGGCUCUCUGGUCUGUAACUGACGCUGAGGCUCGAAAGCGUGGGGAGCAAACA